CCUACGGUUUGAUGUUGAAUUACGAUCUGCGUUUGUACGGAAUGAAAUCGAGAGAGAUAGAAGAGAGAAAGAUGGCUUCGAAAUCAACGGAGGAAGAGAAAUUGCACGGCACUGAAUUGGAUGACGAUAUUAAGGAUGAUCUUAGUACGGCUAUCAAGCUCAUGUAUGAUCGAGAUACCCCUGGCUAUAAACCCAAAGAUCUGGAAUAUUGCAAACCUUUGGUCGACCUCGCAAUUGUUACCUAUAACCAACAACACUCAACACAUUACCGUUUGGUGGAACUGAUCAGAGUAAUUGGAUGUGUUUGUUCCGGUUUUUAUUUCUUUAUGAAGUAUUCGGCCACCGAUUCUGAUUCCGAUGCUGAUGCUAAAAUGUUUGCCGCAGAUGUUUUCGAUGGAAUCUAAGAAACUACAAUAGAUUCUGUUUAUAUUGUGGCUGAAGGUGAAAGUCUACGAGUUGAUACCAUACCUGCCCGCUAUUUUUGAAUUUCGUCGGAGAGUCUUGGCUACCUAAAGAGUUGCACUUUUUGAAGUCGGAAUUAGAUUUACAAUUUCCAGCAUGAAAAUUUUGAGAAACGUUUAGACCGAUUUCGGAAGGAGAAGACUUUUUUCGGGACUGACUAAUUGAUUUGUUAUCAUGCUAUAUUUUGCGUUUCUUUUCCGUUAAGCAGUGUACCCUUGCUAUAUAGUAUUUAAUAAACUGCAAUGUGUGUGCUGUCUGAAGUAGGCGACCUUCUUUGAGUUUGCUCUCUCGGCCCUGAUUCAAAUUAACUGUGAUUUUCCUUUAAAAAAUAAAUAAAAAAAUUAACUGUGAUUU